AGCUGGGGACAGGACCCAGGGCCUUGCGCUUCCUAGGCAAGCGCUCUACCACUGAGCUAAAUCCCCAACCCCAAGCCAGCGUUCUUAACAGCUGGAGCCACCUCAGCAGCCCCUUGUUUUACUACGUGAAACAACGGUCCAGGAUGGGUUGGAACUUACUGUGUAGCUGAAGAUGGCCUUGAGCUUCUCAUCCUCCUGCCUGCUGGGAUUACAAGAGGGUACCCGUUUUAUACAGUUUUGGGGAUCAGCCUUAGUAUGUGCUCUACCAACCCAGCUACAUCUUCACCACUCUCCUUUAUUAUUGUUGCUACUGUUAUGGUUGUUUAUUUAUUUAAGGAAACCUUUUCUGAGUUUUCCCAGGCUGGUCUUGAACUCCUCAUCCUCUUGCCUCCCAAGUGCUGAAUAGCCCUUGCUACCAGACCCGGCUUGUACAUUUAUUUCGUAAUGUUAUCCUUCUUAAUUUCUGUCUUGGGUUCUGUUGUUAGUGGUGGCUUUAGAUUUAGUCUCACUAUGUUCCCCAGAUCUUGCAAGGAACUGGCUGAAUAGCUCAGGAUUGCCUACAGAAAACAGAGGGACUUCACAGAUGACACAGUAGGGAGAAAAAUGACCAGCGCUAAUAUGACUUGGGUUCCUGGUAAUCUUGCCUUUUUUUAUUUUUGGUGGGGUGGGGAGGGUUUCUCUGUGUAUCCCUGGCUGUCCUAAGACUCACACUAUAGACCAGGCUGGCCUCUGUGUAGCCCUCGGUGUCCUAGAACUCACUCCGUACACCAGGCUGGCCUUGAACCCAGAGAUCUGCCUGCCUCUGAGUGCUGGGAUUAAAGGUGUGCACCACCACCACCAGCAGCUUGGUUUUUCUAGUUUCAGUUAAAAUGAGGAAACAAAAAAGAGAAACGUGUAUUUGGGACAGUAACUGGACAGCAGAGGGCUUGUUGGCCCCGAGCAGCACCUGGAAGAAGGGUGGUGGGGAGACAGGUGCCAGAGAGACAGAAUGAGACAAGUGCCUUGUCUACAUCUAGGCUGGGACCAAUUUAACAACAAAGGCAGUGGCAUGUGGCGUGGAUGUUAUCAGGGUAUUUCAUACAGUUUCACAACUGUUAUCUUCCAGGUUGCCUGGGAUGCCUGUGGCCCUGUUGCUUCAAAGCACCGGCCUCCUCAUCUGAAGACAGGCACUGAGGGAUCUCAGAUACCAACCGCACCAGAUCAGUCAUGGGGGCCUUGGUUCCAUCUCCGUCAUGGAAAUAACCAGGAGAAUGAAGCCAGGGCUUGCAAGGAGUAAGCUGAUCUUUGGGAGCCUCUCUUCCACUCUCUGGGACCUUCAGCCCCCCCAGGCUACCCCAAUAACCUGCCCUACCUACCUGUGGGUGUCCUGACACUUUCCCUCCUUCUAACUUCUAACAGGGGCUCCCGAGGCCCCUGCUGCUGUUCCCUGGCUGUUUAAAGUGUUACCUCUUCUAGAAAAGUGAGGAUUCCUGGG
rnacentral:lncRNA from 1 species